rnacentral:lncRNA from 1 species
UUUCUCUCAAAAUAAAUAAAUAAACUUCAAGAACAUAAAAAAAAUAAAGUAAAAAUUGCCUAAUGUUAAACACUGUGCUUCAGAACUCUGGAACUCUCACUCUUAAUCAUUGACUAUAAGUCCUCAUAAAGGCACUUUAGAAGAAAAUCUCCCAGUGUGAAUAUACAUUAUUCUACUGAUUGAAAAGUGUCUCGUGUAACAGAUGAAAAAGGGAUCUCAACAAAGCAUAUCUUUUUGAAAUUUCAUAGUAGGAAUGAGGAGUAGUAACUAAAAGCUUCAGAAAGAAUAAACAUCACCUACUCAGAAAUGGAGAAUCACAUGACGUAAGGCAUUUUAAACUAAGUUUCAUUACUAGAAAGAAGAUCACAGAGAACAUUCUCAAAUUUGGGAGAAGUAAAUUUUAGCCUAGAAUUUUAUGCCCAGUCUUUUAAGCAGUAGACGACAGAAUGAAGACAUUUACAAACAAGUAUGAUCUGUGAGAACUUACCUGCUAUGAAUUCUUUUUUAGGGAGCUCCUUCCGAGUGAACUGCAGCAAAAGCAAAUGAGCAAACCAAGAGAGAAGACAGCGGAUUUGGGAAACCAUGACUGAGAUACAAGAGUGUGAUAAUACCAGAAUCAUGUCCAGGCCCUACAUCCUGAGGAAUCCCGAGAUCUCUGAGCCAAGACUGAAGCCAAAUAAGGAAAAGCUUCAGGAGAAGGUCAUUAAGGAAAAAGCCCAAGUCCAAGGAGAGGCAGAGAUUCUGGGUAUGGGUGACUGCCCUGAAGACCGAAGUCUCCCUCACGUGGGCUGCUCAAAAAUCCAGACUUAGGGGAACAGACAGUAUUCGCAGGUGGAUUUCAUUACAG